UACGUAGGGUGCGAGCGUUGUCCGGAAUUAUUGGGCGUAAAGAGCUCGUAGGCGGUGUGUCACGUCGGCCGUGAAAACCUGUAGCUUAACUGUGGGCGUGCGGUCGAUACGGGCAUCACUGGAGUUCGGCAGGGGAGACUGGAAUUCCUGGUGUAGCGGUGAAAUGCGCAGAUAUCAGGAGGAACACCGGUGGCGAAGGCGGGUCUCUGGGCCGAUACUGACGCUGAGGAGCGAAAGCGUGGGGAGCGAACAGG
rnacentral:rRNA from 1 species